rnacentral:rRNA from 1 species
GAUGAACGCUGGCGGCGUGCCUAAUACAUGCCAGUCGAGCGAACGGACGAGAAGUUUGCUUCUCUGAUGUUAGCGGCGCACGGGUGAGUCACACGUGUAUAACCUCCCUAUCAGACUGGGAUAACUUCGGGAAACCGGAGCUUAUACCGGAUAAUAUUUUGAACCGCAUGGUUCAAAAGUGAAAGACGGUCGUGCGGUCAGUUCUAGGUGGAUCCGCGCUGCAUUAGCUAGUUGGUAAUGUAACGGCUUUCCAAGGCAGCGAUGCAUUGCCGACCUGGGAGGGGGAGCGCCCCCCCUGGAGCUGAGCCGCCGUCCAGAGUCCUACGGGAGGCACCAGUAGGGAAUGGUCCGCAAUGGGCGGAAGCCUGACGGAGCGACGCCGCGUGAGUGAUGAAGGUCUGCGGAGCGUAAAACUGUGUUAUGAGGGAAGAACAUAUGUGUAAGUAACUGUGCACAUCUUGACGGUACCUAAUCAGAAAGCCACGGCUAACUACGUG